rnacentral:rRNA from 1 species
UACGUAGGGUGCAAGCGUUAUCCGGAAUUAUUGGGCGUAAAGAGCUCGUAGGCGGUUUGUCGCGUCUGCUGUGAAAACCCGAGGCUCAACCUCGGGCCUGCAGUGGGUACGGGCAGACUAGAGUGCGGUAGGGGAGAUUGGAAUUCCUGGUGUAGCGGUGGAAUGCGCAGAUAUCAGGAGGAACACCGAUGGCGGAGGCAGAUCUCUGGGGCCGUAACUGACGCUGAGGAGCGAAAGCGUGGGGAGCGAACAGG